GCCUGGGUGGCUCAGUGGUUGAGCAUCUGCCUUCGACUCAGGGCAUGAUCCCGGAGACCCGGGAUCGAGUCCCGCAUUAGGCU
rnacentral:tRNA from 1 species